rnacentral:rRNA from 1 species
CUACGGGGCGCUGCAGUGAGGAAUAUUGCACAAUGGUGGGCACCCUGAUGCCUCACCUCCGCGUGGAGGAUGACGCAUUUCGGUGUGUAAACUCCUUUUAUAUGUCAAGAAAAUGACGGUAGCAUAUGAAUAAGCACCGGCUAACUCCGUGCCAGCAGCCGCGGUAAUACGGAGGGUGCAAGCGUUACUCGGAAUCACUGGGCGUAAAGGACGCGUAGGCGGGUUGGAAAGUCAGGUGUGAAAUCCUACAGCUUAACUGUAGAACUGCACUUGAAACUUCUAAUCUAGAGUAUGGGAGGGGGAGAUGGAAUUAGUGGUGUAGGGGUAAAAUCCGUAGAUAUCACUAGGAAUACCUAAAGCGAAGGCGAUCUCCUGGAACAUUACUGACGCUAAGGCGUGAAAGCGUGGGGAGCAAACAGGAUUAGAUACCCUAGUAGUC